rnacentral:rRNA from 1 species
CGGCGUGCCUAAUACAUGCAAGUCGAGCGGACGGAUGGGAGCUUGCUCCCUGAAGUCAGCGGCGGACGGGUGAGUAACACGUGGGCAACCUGCCUGUAAGACUGGGAUAACUUCGGGAAACCGGAGCUAAUACCGGAUAACUCUUUCCCUCACAUGAGGGAAAGCUGAAAGAUGGUUUCGGCUAUCACUUACAGAUGGGCCCGCGGCGCAUUAGCUAGUUGGUGAGGUAACGGCUCACCAAGGCAACGAUGCGUAGCCGACCUGAGAGGGUGAUCGGCCACACUGGGACUGAGACACGGCCCAGACUCCUACGGGAGGCAGCAGUAGGGAAUCUUCCGCAAUGGACGAAAGUCUGACGGAGCAACGCCGCGUGAGUGAUGAAGGUUUUCGGAUCGUAAAAC